AGAGUUUGAUCAUGGCUCAGAACGAACGCUGGCGGCGUGCCUAACACAUGCAAGUCGAACGCGAACGUCUUCUUCGGAGGACAAGUAGAGUGGCGCACGGGUGAGUAACGCGUAAGUAAUCUGUCCUGGCAUCUGGGAUAACCUAUCGAAAGGUGAGCUAAUACCGGAUACGUCCUGCGGGAGAAAGACCGCCUCUGUUGUAAGCGGUUGUGCGAGGAGGAGCUUGCGUACCAUUAGCUGGUUGGUGGGGUAACGGCCUACCAAGGCGACGAUGGUUAGCGGGUCUGAGAGGAUGAUCCGCCACACUGGAACUGAAACACGGACCAGACUCCUACGGGAGGCAGCAGUGAGGAAUAUUGCGCAAUGGGGGCAACCCUGACGCAGCGACGCCGCGUGGAUGAUGAAGGCCUUCGGGUUGUAAAAUCCUGUCAGAUGGGAAGAAAUGUACGAUGGUUAAGAGCUGUCGUAUUUGACGGUACCAUCAAAGGAAGCACCGGCUAACUCCGUGCCAGCAGCCGCGGUAAUACGGAGGGUGCGAGCGUUGUUCGGAUUUACUGGGCGUAAAGCGCGCGUAGGCGGUGUGAUCAGUCAGCUGUGAAAGCCCAUGGCUCAACCAUGGACGUGCAGUUGAAACUGUCAGACUUGAGUACUGGAGGGGGUGGUGGAAUUCCCGGUGUAGAGGUGAAAUUCGUAGAUAUCGGGAGGAAUACCGGUGGCGAAGGCGACCACCUGGCCAGAUACUGACGCUGAGGUGCGAAAGCGUGGGGAGCAAACAGGAUUAGAUACCCUGGGUAGUCCACGC
rnacentral:rRNA from 1 species